CCUACGGGUGGCAGCAGUGGGGAAUAUUGCACAAUGGGGGAAACCCUGAUGCAGCGACGCCGCGUGAGUGAAGAAGGAAUUCGUUAUGUAAAGCUCUAUCAGCAGGGAAGAAAAUGACGGUACCUGAGUAAGCAGCCCCGGCUAACUACGUGCCAGCAGCCGCGGUAUUACGUAGGGGGCAAGCGUUCUCCGGAUUUACUGGGUGUAACGGGAGCGUAGACGGCAUUGCAAGUCUGGAGUGAAAGGCGGGGGCUCAACCCCCGGACUGCACUGGAAACUGUACGGCUGGAGUGCAGGAGAGGUAAGUGGAAUUCCUAGUGUAGCGGUGAAAUGCGUAGAUAUUAGGAGGAACACCAGUGGCGAAGGCGGCUUACUGGACUGUAACUGACGUUGAGGCUCGAAAGCGUGGGGAGCAAACAGGAUUAGAUACCCUGGUAGUC
rnacentral:rRNA from 1 species